rnacentral:rRNA from 1 species
CCUACGGGUGGCAGCAGUGGGGGAUAUUGCACAAUGGGGGGAACCCUGAUGCAGCGACGCCGCGUGGGUGAAGAAGCGCCUCGGCGCGUAAAGCCCUGUCAGCAGGGAAGAAAAUGACGGUACCUGAAGAAGAAGCACCGGCUAACUACGUGCCAGCAGCCGCGGUAAUACGUAGGGGGCAAGCGUUACCCGGUUUAACUGGGGGUAAGGGGGGCGCAGGCGGGGAUGCAAGCCAGGAGUGAAAGCCGGGGGCCCAACCCCGGGACUGCUCUUGGAACUGCGAGGCUGGAGUGCAGGAGGGGCAGGCGGAAUUCCUGGUGUAGCGGUGAAAUGCGUAGAUAUCAGGAGGAACACCGGUGGCGAAGGCGGCCUGCUGGACUGCAACUGACGUUGAGGCCCGAAAGCGUGGGGAGCAAACAGGAUUAGAUACCCGAGUAGUC